GCUACGGGGGGCAGCAGUGGGGAAUUUUGGACAAUGGGGGCAACCCUGAUCCAGCCAUUCCGCGUGAGUGAAGAAGGCCUUCGGGUUGUAAAGCUCUUUUGUCCGGAGCGAAACGGGCGGCCCUAAUACGGUCGUCUACUGACGGUACCGGAAGAAUAAGCACCGGCUAACUACGUGCCAGCAGCCGCGGUAAUACGUAGGGUGCGUACGUUAAUCGGAAUUACUGGGCGUAAAGUUUGCGGCCACGGGUGAAAUCCCCGGGCUCAACCUGGGAAUGGCAUUUGGGACUGCAAGGCUGGAGUGUGGCAGAGGGGACUAGAAUUCCUGGUGUAGCAGUGAAAUGCGUAGAUAUCAGGAGGAAUACCGAUGGCGAAGGCAGGUCCCUGGGUUAACACUGACGCUCAUGCACGAAAGCGUGGGGAGCAAACAGGAUUAGAUACCCCAGUAGUC
rnacentral:rRNA from 1 species